rnacentral:rRNA from 1 species
UACGAAGGGGGCAAGCGUUGUUCGGAUUUACUGGGCGUAAAGGGCGCGUAGGCGGAUUUGCAAGUCAGAGGUGAAAGCCCUGGGCUCAACCCGGGAAUGGCCUUUGAGACUGCAAGUCUUGAGUGCGAGAGAGGGUGGCGGAAUACCCAGUGUAGAGGUGAAAUUCGUAGAUAUUGGGUAGAACACCAGUGGCGAAGGCGGCCACCUGGCUCGCAACUGACGCUGAGGCGCGAAAGCGUGGGGAGCAAACAGG